AACGAACGCUGGCGGCAGGCUUAACACAUGCAAGUCGAGCGCCCCGCAAGGGGAGCGGCCGACGGGUGAGUAACGCGUGGGAACGUACCUUUUGGUUCGGAACAACUCCGGGAAACUGGAGCUAAUACCGGAUAAGCCCUAACGGGGAAAGAUUUAUCGCCGAAAGAUCGGCCCGCGUCUGAUUAGCUAGUUGGUGAGGUAACGGCUCACCAAGGCGACGAUCAGUAGCUGGUCUGAGAGGAUGAUCAGCCACACUGGGACUGAGACACGGCCCAGACUCCUACGGGAGGCAGCAGUGGGGAAUAUUGGACAAUGGGCGCAAGCCUGAUCCAGCCAUGCCGCGUGAGCGAUGAAGGCCUUAGGGUUGUAAAGCUCUUUUGUCCGGGAAGAUAAUGACUGUACCGGAAGAAUAAGCCCCGGCUAACUUCGUG
rnacentral:rRNA from 1 species